rnacentral:pre_miRNA from 1 species
GAAGUACUCCCUCCGUUCCAAAUUACUCGUCGCAGAAAUGGAUGUAUCUAGAACUAAAAUACAUCUAGAUACAUCCAUACGUGCGACAAGUAAUUCGAAACGGAGGGAGUAGCAU